rnacentral:tRNA from 1 species
AGGAUUCUAAGUUAUUUAAACUUGUAGCCUUCAAAGCUUCAUAAAAAAGUAAAAUCUUUUGUAUCCUA